UCCAGACUCCUACGGGAGGCAGCAGUGGGGGAUAUUGCACAAUGGGGGAAACCCUGAUGCAGCGACGCCGCGUGGGUGAAGAAGCGCCUCGGCGCGUAAAGCCCUGUCAGCAGGGAAGAAAAUGACGGUACCUGAAGAAGAAGCCCCGGCUAACUGCGUGCCAGCAGCCGCGGUAAUACGUAGGGGGCAAGCGUUAUCCGGAUUUACUGGGUGUAAAGGGGGCGCAGACGGCGAUGCAAGCCAGGAGUGAAAGCCCGGGGCCCAACCCCGGGACUGCUCUUGGAACUGCGUGGCUAGAGUGUCGGAGAGGCAGGCGGAAUUCCUAGUGUAGCGGUGAAAUGCGUAGAUAUUAGGAGGAACACCAGUGGCGAAGGCGGCCUGCUGGACGAUGACUGACGUUGAGGCUCGAAAGCGUGGGGAGCAAACAGGAUUAGAUACCCUGGUAC
rnacentral:rRNA from 1 species